UAUUAUACAAAAAUGACACGUGUCUGUCCAAAAAAAAAAAAAAAAAAAAAGGCAAGUGUGUUAGAUGCUACCUGUCAGCUAUGUUAUUCAGCAAUGUUCAUCAGCAUAUUUUUUUUUAUAGUUGAGCCUGUUUGUAUGUUGUGGUUUAAUAGUAACCAUACUUGUAAUAUUAACUGUAUAGCUUGCACUACUGUUCACUGGGGUCUGUAAGAUUUAUGAAAUAUUAUUGGAAUUACCAGAAAAAGUUUUCUAUUUGAGUAUAUUUUAAAAUGUAAGUUUUUUUUCCUGUGAAUGUAAAUCUGAAAUCUCAGUAGCAAUACUGCAGUCUUCAGUAUUGCAUGAUCCUUCAGAAAUCAUCCUAAUAUUUCAGCUCAGGAACUCUUAUUGUUAUUAUUUAUCAGUGUUGAAAUCAGUUGAGCUGCUUAAUACUGUUAUAGAUUUUAUUCAGGAUUCUAUAAAGAAUAGAAAGUUCAACAAACAACAUUUAUUUGAAAUGGACAUCUUUUGUAUCAUUACAAAUGUCACUUUUAUCAACUUGGUGCAUCUUUGUUAAUACUUCUUGAUUUCUUUUUUUGAUGUCUUUCAAAACCAAAAAUCUUACUGACCCCAAAUUUGGAAAGGUUUCUCCAAAUAUAGCCUACAUGAUCCAUUAUUAUAAAACAGUAAGUACAUAAUCAGCACUUUCCAUUAUUUCUAUAGAUGUCAGCAGCAGAGAAACAGCGAAGAUACCGGGCUCGACGCGAUGCUGAUCCCUCAAGAAGGGCACAAUAUUUAGAAAAGCAAAGAGAGGCCUGGUACAGACAAAUAAGACGCGGAAAGGUGAAACCAGUCGCAGAGUUGAGUGAGAGCGAGAAACAAAGCAAGAGAGACCAGUGGAGAAAAGCCCAACAGAGAAGAAGACAGAGAAAUCGAAUGCUAGUACAAAAAGACAGCAAUGAACUUGAACAGCUACCUACAGAAUCAAGCAGUCUGGCGGAUUAA
rnacentral:lncRNA from 1 species